GAAAUUCCGUCGGAAUCUGGGAGGACCAUCUCCUAAGGCUAAAUACUCUCUAGUGACCGAUAGUGAACCAGUACCGUGAGGGAAAGGUGAAAAGCACCCCGGAAGGGGAGUGAAAUAGAACCUGAAACCGUGUGCUUACAAGUAGUCAGAGCCCGUUAAUGGGUGAUGGCGUGCCUUUUGUAGAAUGAACCGGCGAGUUACGAUUUGAUGCAAGGUUAAGCAGUAAAUGUGGAGCCGUAGCGAAAGCGAGUCUGAAUAGGGCGUUUAGUAUUUGGUCGUAGACCCGAAACCAGGUGAUCUACCCUUGGUCAGGUUGAAGUUCAGGUAACACUGAAUGGAGGACCGAACCGACUUACGUUGAAAAGUGAGCGGAUGAACUGAGGGUAGCGGAGAAAUUCCAAUCGAACCUGGAGAUAGCUGGUUCUCUCCGAAAUAGCUUUAGGGCUAGCCUCAAGUGAUGAUUAUUGGAGGUAGAGCACUGUUUGGACGAGGGGCCCCUCUCGGGUUACCGAAUUCAGACAAACUCCGAAUGCCAAUUAAUUUAACUUGGGAGUCAGAACAUGGGUGAUAAGGUCCGUGUUCGAAAGGGAAACAGCCCAGACCACCAGCUAAGGUCCCAAAAUAUAUGUUAAGUGGAAAAGGAUGUGGCGUUGCCCAGACAACUAGGAUGUUGGCUUAGAAGCAGCCAUCAUUUAAAGAGUGCGUAAUAGCUCACUAGUCGAGUGACACUGCGCCGAAAAUGU
rnacentral:rRNA from 1 species